rnacentral:rRNA from 1 species
UGACCUCGAAUCAGGUAGGGAUACCCGCUGAACUUAAGCAUAUCAAAA